CCUACGGGAUGCAGCAGUGAGGAAUAUUGGUCAAUGGACGAGAGUCUGAACCAGCCAAGUAGCGUGAAGGAUGACUGCCCUAUGGGUUGUAAACUUCUUUUAUAAAGGAAUAAAACGAGGCACGUGUGCCCUUUUGCAUGUACUUUAUGAAUAAGGAUCGGCUAACUCCGUGCCAGCAGCCGCGGUAAUACGGAGGAUCCGAGCGUUAUCCGGAUUUAUUGGGUUUAAAGGGAGCGUAGAUGGGUUGUUAAGUCAGUUGUGAAAGUUUGCGGCUCAACCGUAAAAUUGCAAUUGAUACUGGCAGUCUUGAGUACAGUUGAGGUAGGCGGAAUUCGUGGUGUAGCGGUGAAAUGCUUAGAUAUCACGAAGAACCCCGAUUGCGAAGGCAGCUUACUAAACUGUGACUGACAUUGAUGCUCGAAAGUGUGGGUAUCAAACAGGAUUAGAUACCCCUGUAGUC
rnacentral:rRNA from 1 species